UACAGAGGGGGCAAGCGUUAUUCGGAAUUAUUGGGCGUAAAGGGCGCGUAGGCGGCCUGGCAAGUGGAAGGUGAAAUCCCUCGGCUUAACCGAGGAACUGCCCUCCAAACUGCUUGGCUUGAGUCCGGGAGAGGUGAGUGGAAUUCCCAGUGUAGCGGUGAAAUGCGUAGAUAUUGGGAGGAACACCAGUGGCGAAGGCGGCUCACUGGACCGGUUCUGACGCUGAGGCGCGAAAGCGUGGGUAGCAAACAGG
rnacentral:rRNA from 1 species